UACGUAGGGUGCAAGCGUUGUCCGGAAUUAUUGGGCGUAAAGAGCUCGUAGGCGGUCUGUCGCGUCGGCUGUGAAAACCCGGAGCUCAACUCCGGGCCUGCAGUCGAUACGGGCAAACUGGAGUACUGCAGGGGAGACUGGAAUUCCUGGUGUAGCGGUGAAAUGCGCAGAUAUCAGGAGGAACACCGGUGGCGAAGGCGGGUCUCUGGGCAGUAACUGACGCU
rnacentral:rRNA from 1 species